AUUACUUCUCAAAAUUGAGAUUUAUAAAAACAAAAAAGAAUAUUAGUAGCAGGCAAAUACUUUGAAUUUUUCCCCACUCUUAUGCUCUAUGUUCAGCGAGGCUACAACAAUUGGUUUGAUAAAGGUGAGGGACACUUAUCCAUUUGGUCUAGAUCCGGUGUGGCAUGGUACCCGCAGCGAGCUGCCGUUCCUGAACUCGCUGAAGAUGAAAAUGUCAAUCCUUCUCGGAGUUUCUCAGAUGAACCUCGGGAUCAUAAUGAGCUACUUCAAUGCAAGAUUCUUCAAAUCGAGUGUAAAUAUAUGGUAGGUUCAAUAAUUUAUAAAGGUUUCAGUGUACUUAAUUUUGAUUAGUGACCAAAUAAUUUAUCAAAAAUUUCGUAAACUUUACAGGAAAACAAAUGGAAAUCUAUAAGUUUCUCACCAAUAAAACAAGCAAAAUCUCAGAAUAAAAAAAUCGCCCAAACUCACUAAAACAUCGUUUUAUGAAAACCAGAUUUCAUCAAUACUAACAUGUGUAUAAGCACACAAUAUUUUGCAAGGGAAGUUUCAGAAAGUUCUUCGAGAAACAAGUUUUGUAAUCUGUACUUACCCCACAAAUAUCGCAGAGAGGAGCAUCUUUGGGAGUAGGAGAAGUGAGAGAGAAACGGAGAUGCUUGCCGGCGAGCUUAUUGGCGAAAUGAACAUGACGAUCGCAACCAUUACAAAGAGCUGCUUCAUCUGCACAACAAAACACUGAAGCUUCUUCUUUAUCACACACAUCACACCAAAUCUUCAUCUUUCGCUUCUUUUUCGUUUGGUAAUAGAACAGUGUUUUUCUUUCCUCUCUCUCUCUCUGGAAAGGGUAUUGUUUCUUUUUCUAGAAAUUUCACAAGAUUGGGGGCUCCGCACUCACUAUCUCUCUCUCGCAACUUGGAUCCUUGGACCAGUACUAUACAAUAGUAUUUAUGAAGACAUUCAUGUGGGUGUGAGUGUAUGUAGAGAUGAUGAUGAUGGGUAUGAGUGUGGGCAAAAGGGUAAGAAUAAUGUGUUGGCUUUAUAGAUAAACAGCUUUAAGUUUCCUUUUGUCUUUUUCUUCUUAUUCUUCCGCUCACUUUCUUGAUAGCUUCUCUUUCUCUUUAGCUUUGAAUUUCUCAAAUCCAUUUGCUUUCACACCCGGUUUGGUCUGGUUUACUAGUUAGGUUAUAUUUUUCUUGUCUAUUGCAUCAAAGUGCCUAAGUUAAUAUAUAUAUAACGCCCGACCAUUUACGGUUAAUGGCCGGCCAUCCACGCCCGCUCACUCGGUUUGUAGACUCUGUCGGUACGUAAAUUUUUCCAAAGGUAAAAAAUCUUAUUUACUGACCAUGCAACCACCACAUAAUUUUUUUUCCGUUUCUUUAGUCUUACUUGCAUGGUAUCGUGAAUAACUUUCCGAUAAGUCAUUUAUCCUUUCAGUACUCCACUCCAAGCACGUUUAACCAUGAAAAUCUAAACGGAUGCAUGAAGAAAAAUGUAAAUCAACUUUGAUGAUAUAGAUAAAAAGCCAAAUCAAUUCUCUUAAAAACAGGACAUUACAAUAUGUCUCUUUGAAAAUCCCGUGUGUCUUUUAUAUGGCCUUUGUCCGGAAGAAUAAAAAAUGGACACAUAGAAGAAGAAUGAAUUGGGGUAUCCAUCAUUCAUGGGCCCAUUUUAAAAAGUAAAUAACGAUUGUAGUUGACUCAGACCAAAUAAAUGAGAGGCCAUACAAAGAAGCCCCCUCGAUUUCAGGACAGAACUGUGAUACAGGAAAGGAAGAGGGGGCAAUUGCGGUAUUUCAAUAAUAAUAAAAACGCGAUUGGAACUAGGGGCAGAGGACAAAUAAUUACAGCUCUCCCUCCUCGAUCCAUCUCUGACAUUUAUCUUUCUUUUUCAAAAAUUAUAAUAUUUAUUUGGUUCAAAUUCAUCGCCGGAGAAUUAUCAACGAUGGGGGAAAGCGGCGGCGGUGGUUGUUGUCCGCCGAUGGAUUUGAUGCGGUCAGAGCCGAUGCAGCUUGUUCAACUCAUUGUUCCCAUGGAAUCUGCUCAUCUCACCGUCUCUUACCUUGGAGAUCUUGGCCUCGUCCAAUUCAAAGACGUCCGUAAUCAUUUCCUUAUUAUCUCUCUCUCUCUGUCCAUGAUCGUUGACUAGAUAUGUAAUUGGCGUGUUUGAUUUUGCAAUACGCAUCUAUUUCAUUUUGACUUUGACGUUUGGUUUCCAGAUCUUAAGAGAUGACGAGAUUUAGAUUUUCCUCUCCACAUAAUUCAUUGAUCAAUUGGUUUUUGGUGUUUGUAAUGAAUGAUAAACCUUCUUUUUUUUUUUUUUGCUUACGUUUCUUUCAGCUAAAUCCAGAGAAGAGCCCUUUUCAACGUACUUAUGCUGCUCAGGUAAAAUUCAUCUUUAUGUAGUAAUGUGAUACAAUCUAAGAAUAUAAAUCUUAUAAUUUUCUCUCUCGUGUUUGGCUGACGGAUUCUAGAUAAAAAGAUGUGGAGAGAUGGCACGUAAGAUACGUUUCUUCAAGGAUCAAAUGUCCAAAGCUGGAGUUUUACCCAAGGAUUCGCUGGAGAAUGGAACUCAUAUCAUCGACCUGGACGAUGUCGAGGUAUUUAUUAUUCAACUCCCCACCUGCUUUUCAUUUUCCAUGCCAUGUUUUCGAUUUCUUUCUCCUUAUCAGGUAAAGCUUGGAGAGCUCGAAGCUGAACUUGUUGAGAUCAAUGCUAAUAAUGACAAGUUACAGCGUUCCUAUAAUGAACUCAUUGAGUACAAACUGGUCCUUGACAAGGUGACAUUUGUUUUCUUUUAUUUUAGAUUUUUAUUUACGCCUUUGAAAAUGUUAUUGCUGUGCUUCUCAUGCUGUAUCUAUCUGAAUGUCAUCUGAUAGGCCGGCGAGUUCUUUUCUUCUGCUCAUACAAGUGCUACCGCUCAACAGAUAGAGAUAGAGUCACAACAAGUGGGCGAAGAUUUGCUGGAGGCUCCUUUAUUGCAGCAAGUACGAUUGUUGCAGCUGUUCUCGUUUGAUGUACCCUUUUUAUAGUUUAUUGUUUAAUCACUAAUACUUACUUUUAAACAGGACAAGUCUAUUGAUUCGUCAAAGCAAGUCAAGCUUGGAUUUCUCACCGGAUUGGUACCUCGUGAAAAGUCGAUGGUGUUUGAGAGGAUUCUAUUCCGUGCUACUAGGGGCAACGUCUUUAUUCGACAGACUGUCAUUGAGGAGCCGGUCAUUGAUCCCAACUCUGGGGAGAAGGUUAGAUCAUGCUUCUGCUUCUCUCUUAAAUUCUCUUACACUACUGAUACAUUAGUUCAGAUGGUCUCCUUCCUUUUGCAGUUUCUGAAUAUACAACUGCUAGGUUGUUUGUAUUUUAGAUCUAGAGAGAGCCACGAGUUCGUUUAACAUGUGGAAUGCUGAUCUCGUUAGAAAACAUAUUUACUUUUCUGUCUCAUUUCGAAAUUGACUUUCUAACUCUAAAAUAAAUGCAGGCUGAGAAAAAUGUUAUUGUUGUCUUCUAUUCCGGGGAAAGAGCAAAAAGCAAAAUUCUUAAAAUAUGUGAAGCUUUUGGGGCCAAUCGUUAUCCUUUCAGCGAAGACCUUGGAAAACAAGCUCAAAUGAUAACUGAGGUAUAUAUUAUCUUUCUUGUGAAUGUUGUUGUUGUCAUAAACCUUUUUACUUCCCUGUAUGGUUCGUUCUUUGGACAUGAGUUAUAGACGAUAACAAAAUAUUGGGUAUUCGCUAGUACUCAAGUGUCCUGUAAAAGCUAAUGCAUGAGAUCAUGAUGUUUUGAUGUACUGAAAUUAUGUGACUGUUAGCUUUGAAGUUGGUUAGCGUCCAUAUAAUGAAGAUCCCGUUAACCCAGAAACUGUCUAACCAUGUUUAAUUCUUUCGCACCAUUUCAGGUGUCAGGUCGAUUAACAGAGCUUAAAACCACCAUAGAUGCUGGUUUAGGUCACCGUAACAUUUUGUUGCACGCCAUUGGAGAUAAAUUUGAGCUGUGGAACCUCAAGGUAUUAUUCUGAGUAGAUUAAUGUUGAGCGGCCUGUGUUGACCCCUCUGUUCUAAACCAUUCAAGUUUAUGUUUACCAAUUGCAGGUGCGCAAAGAGAAAGCUAUCUAUCAUACUUUGAACAUGCUUAGUCUUGAUGUAACUAAGAAGUGCCUUGUGGCCGAGGGCUGGAGUCCUGUCUUUGCAUCAAACGAAGUGAGUUGUUCGUUUUGUUCACUGUUAAUUGCAUUUGAAUAUUUUAUCGGGUGAUCGUUUCAGAAUACUUAAGUAGAAUAAGGUUUGUUUGUGCAGAUUCAAAAUGCAUUAAAGCGUGCUGCAGUUGACUCCAAUUCGCAAGUUGGAUCAAUAUUCCAGGUUCUGAGGACCAAAGAGUUGCCACCAACUUAUUUUCGCACAAACAAAUUUACUUCUGCAAUUCAGGAAAUUGUUGAUGCAUAUGGGUAAGUGUCUUUCACUUUUUUUCUGGAGCUUUUGACCCAGUUUAGGAAAUAUGAGAUAGCCUUGGUAUUAUAUAAAAUGUGUAAUAGACUGCAUUUAGUCUUGUCCUCGCUUCCUCUGAUCAGUCUUCUAUGAUCACCACUUUGCAGUGUGGCCAAGUAUCAGGAAGCUAAUCCUGGUGUAUUCACAAUCGUCACCUUCCCCUUCCUUUUCGCUGUUAUGUUUGGUGAUUGGGGGCAUGGAAUAUGUUUGCUGCUUGCAACUAUGUACUUGAUAGUGAGAGAAAAGAAACUUUCCAGCCAGGUAAUACCCCAAUUGAUGUUACCUUAUAGUCUGACUAUGAGCAAGAGAUUGAAUUCUAUCUCAACUGUAUAACCUGCUGUUAAGUUUAGCUGUUCUGUUUCUCUUGGAGUUGCAUGCAAAUAUGAUAGCAUAGGAAACACACUUUUAUAGAGUAUAUUAUAGCCUAUUCUCUUAUAUACGGCUUAGAUUAAUUGUUAGAUGCUUUGCUCUUGCAAGUAUUAGAUGCUAACUCUUCAAUCGUUGGUUCUUGGCAACAGAAACUUGGUGAUAUUAUGGAAAUGGCUUUUGGUGGUCGUUAUGUCAUAAUGAUGAUGUCACUCUUCUCAAUAUACACUGGUUUAAUCUACAACGAGUUCUUCUCUAUUCCAUACCCAUUGUUCGCUCCCUCAGCCUAUGAUUGCCGUGAUGCCUCAUGCAGGUAAUGCAAAUUACUUCUCAAAAUUGAGAUUUAUAAAAACAAAAAAGAAUAUUAGUAGCAGGCAAAUACUUUGAAUUUUUCCCCACUCUUAUGCUCUAUGUUCAGCGAGGCUACAACAAUUGGUUUGAUAAAGGUGAGGGACACUUAUCCAUUUGGUCUAGAUCCGGUGUGGCAUGGUACCCGCAGCGAGCUGCCGUUCCUGAACUCGCUGAAGAUGAAAAUGUCAAUCCUUCUCGGAGUUUCUCAGAUGAACCUCGGGAUCAUAAUGAGCUACUUCAAUGCAAGAUUCUUCAAAUCGAG
rnacentral:lncRNA from 1 species